ACAACUACGAGUAGUAACUUAAAACUUAAAAGACUUGACGGUACUUCACCACAAUCUAGAGGAGCCUGUCUAAUAACCGAUAACCCACGAUUAACCCAACCCCCUCUUGCCAACAGUCUAUAUACCACCGUCGCAAGCUUACCUUGUAAAAGAAACAAAGUAAGCUAAAUAGUACUUCACUAAAACGACAGGUCGAGGUGUAACUCAUGAGCGGGAUCUAGAUGGGCUACAUUCUCUCCUUCACCACGAACUAGGUGUUUGAAGGAGGAUUUAGCAGUAAGGUGGGAAUAAAAUACCCAACUGAACAUAACGCAAUGAAGUGCGUACACACCGCCCGUCACCCCUG
rnacentral:rRNA from 1 species